UACCAGCACCCCGAGUGGUCGGGACGUUUUAUUGGGCCUAAAGCAUCCGUAGCCGGUUCUACAAGUCUUCCGUUAAAUCCACCUGCUCAACAGAUGGGCUGCGGAAGAUACUAUGGAGCUAGGAGGCGGGAGAGGCAAGCGGUACUCGAUGGGUAGGGGUAAAAUCCGUUGAUCCAUUGAAGACCACCAGUGGCGAAGGCGGCUUGCCAGAACGCGCUCGACGGUGAGGGAUGAAAGCUGGGGGAGCAAACCGGG
rnacentral:rRNA from 1 species